rnacentral:rRNA from 1 species
UACGAAGGGUGCAAGCGUUAAUCGGAAUUACUGGGCGUAAAGGGUGCGUAGGCGGUUGUUUAAGUCUGUCGUGAAAUCCCCGGGCUCAACCUGGGAAUGGCGAUGGAUACUGGACAGCUAGAGUGUGUCAGAGGAUGGUGGAAUUCCCGGUGUAGCGGUGAAGUGCGUAGAGAUCGGGAGGAACAUCAGUGGCGAAGGCGGCCAUCUGGGACAACACUGACGCUGAAGCACGAAAGCGUGGGGAGCAAACAGG